AACGAACGCUGGCGGCAGGCCUAACACAUGCAAGUCGAACGCCCCGCAAGGGGAGUGGCGCACGGGUGAGUAACGCGUGGGAAUAUGCCCUUCGGUUCGGAAUAACACAGGGAAACUUGUGCUAAUACCGGAUACGAUCUACGGAUGAAAGAUUUAUCGCCGAGGGAGUAGCCCGCGUAGGAUUAGCUAGUUGGUGAGGUAAUGGCUCACCAAGGCGACGAUCCUUAGCUGGUCUGAGAGGAUGAUCAGCCACACUGGGACUGAGACACGGCCCAGACUCCUACGGGAGGCAGCAGUGGGGAAUAUUGGACAAUGGGCGAAAGCCUGAUCCAGCCAUGCCGCGUGAGUGAUGAAGGCCUUAGGGUUGUAAAGCUCUUUCGCCAGGGAAGAUAAUGACGGUACCUGGAAAAGAAGCCUCGGCUAACUCCGUGCCAGCCGCCGCCGUAAGAC
rnacentral:rRNA from 1 species